rnacentral:rRNA from 1 species
GAUGAACGCUGGCGGCGUGCUUAACACAUGCAAGUCGAACGAAGCACUUUAUUACAAUUUCUUCGGAAUGACGAUUUAGUGACUGAGUGGCGGACGGGUGAGUAACGCGUGGGUAACCUGCCUUAUACAGGGGGAUAACAGUUAGAAAUGACUGCUAAUACCGCAUAAGCGCACAGGAUUGCAUGAUCUGGUGUGAAAAAACUCCGGUGGUAUAAGAUGGACCCGCGUCUGAUUAGCUGGUUGGUGAGGUAACGGCCCACCAAGGCGACGAUCAGUAGCCGACCUGAGAGGGUGACCGGCCACAUUGGGACUGAGACACGGCCCAAAAUCCUACGGGAGGCAGCAGUGGGGAAUAUUGCACAAUGGGGGAAACCCUGAUGCAGCGACGCCGCGUGAGCGAAGAAGUAUUCGGUAUGUAAAAGCUCUAUCAGCAGGGAGAAAAAAUAGAGGUACCUGACUAAGAAGACCCCGGCUAACUACGUAGCCAGCAGCCG